rnacentral:tmRNA from 1 species
GGGGGUGCAAUGGUUUCGACGGGAGCUUUGAAAAUAAGGAUAGCCAUUGGCAGCAUCGGUCACUGCCUAUCAAACCGAAACCUUUAAAAAGAAACGACAAAGAUUAUUCUUUAGCAGCAGCCUAAGCGCUGCUCGUCAGCCUCUAGUCGACCACUGCUAGAGAUGCUGGCGCCGAAUAGGUGGUGCACUUUCUGUCAUAAGCUUUGCCGGCAGAAAAGAUUUAUGAAGCUACCAAAGGUAACAGCCUGCUUUUCGGCGGUUAUCUGAGGGAAUGUAAAAAGAAAAGCUGUAAUGGGAGAAGUCCUUAUGGAAGGGUUUUCGGACAGGAGUUCGAUUCUCCUCACCUCCAUUC